rnacentral:tRNA from 1 species
GCCAGUGUAGCUUAGUGGUAUAGCGCUUGAUUCGUAAUCAAGAGGUCCAAGGGUUCAAUCCCCUUCACUGGCU